rnacentral:rRNA from 1 species
GCCAUCCUACGGGAGGCAGCAGUGGGGAAUAUUGCACAAUGGGCGCAAGCCUGAUGCAGCCAUGCCGCGUGUAUGAAGAAGGCCUUCGGGUUGUAAAGUACUUUCAGCAGUGAGGAAGGUGGGUAUGUUAAUAGCAUAUUCAUUUGACGUUAGCUGCAGAAGAAGCACCGGCUAACUCCGUGCCAGCAGCCGCGGUAAUACGGAGGGUGCGAGCGUUAAUCGGAAUUACUGGGCGUAAAGCGCAUGCAGGUGGUUUGUUAAGUCAGAUGUGAAAGCCCGGGGCUCAACCUCGGAAUUGCAUUUGAAACUGGCAAACUAGAGUACUGUAGAGGGGGUAGAAUUUCAGGUGUAGCGGUGAAAUGCGUAGAGAUCUGAAGGAAUACCGGUGGCGAAGGCGGCCCCCUGGACAGAUACUGACACUCAGAUGCGAAAGCGUGGGGAGCAAACAGGAUUAAAUACCCUGGUAG